rnacentral:rRNA from 1 species
UACGAAGGGGGCUAGCGUUGCUCGGAAUCACUGGGCGUAAAGCGCACGUAGGCGGAUUGCUAAGUCAGGGGUGAAAUCCUGGAGCUCAACUCCAGAACUGCCUUUGAUACUGGCGAUCUCGAGUCCGGGAGAGGUGAGUGGAACUGCGAGUGUAGAGGUGAAAUUCGUAGAUAUUCGCAAGAACACCAGUGGCGAAGGCGGCUCACUGGACCGGUUCUGACGCUGAGGCGCGAAAGCGUGGGGAGCAAACGGGG